rnacentral:lncRNA from 1 species
UAAUACAUAUAAACAAAAAUAUAUAAGUAUCUUGCGAAAAUUGUAAUUUCAAAUUUGGUACAUAACGUCAAAAUGUAUAAAAUGUACACCAAAAUUUUACUAGCUACUUUGUUGGUUAUCCAAAUUGCACAUAUGGUUGCCCUACCUGACCAUUUUUAAAUGCAACGAUGAUUGGUAGUGUUGAUGCAACACAACUGAAUAGGGAGCUAAGACAAUAUAUCAACGAACAGAUAAAACAACAGCCUAAUUUCAACAAACGAC